rnacentral:tRNA from 1 species
GGAGCGCUAGCUCAGCUGGAUAGAGCAUUCGCCUUCUAAGCGAACGGUCGUGAGUUCGAACCUCACGCGCUUCA